AAGCUUCUCGGAUGAGAGGUGAAACGUCUUCAAGCAACUCAAAGAAGUCCAGACAUUUAUUAAUGAUAAAUUGUCAAUCUAUUUUUGUCAGAUGUUAGGGCAUUUAUAUAAUAACAGACACACUUAUGGGGGAAUUCCUGACAUUUGUCAAAGUUAGUCAGAGCCAUGAUAUCAUGAUAUAUAGAAUAUGAACAGUCACUCCAAAAUUUUCAUAACAGGUUAGACUAAUCUAGUUUUAUUUUCUGCGGGGUGGAGUAGAUGCAAAACCCGAAUGUUUUUCUUCUCCAUAUAUCUGACUUCAGAGAAGAUAACAGACUUAAGGACACACAGUCUAACAGUAUGGAGUACAGGACAGGACUGCUGCUGUUAACUAUCUGCUGGGCAGGUGUUGAUGGUCAGACUCCGACAGAAUCUGAACCAGCACUUAAAAGGCCUGAAUCCCACAGACUGACCUGUACAGGCUCUGGAUUCACAUUCAGCAGCUACCCUAUGAACUGGGUCUGACAGGCUCCUGGAAAAGGACUGGAGUGGAUCGCAUUUAUACACACAUAUAUUACUCAUAUCUAUUACUCCCAGUCAGUCCAGGGUCGAUUUACUAUUUCCAGAGAUGACUCCAGCAGUAAAGUCUAUCUACAGAUGAACAAUCUGAAGACUGAGGACACAGCAGUUUAUUACUGUGCCCGACAGACACAGUGAGAAACAGUGAGACACAGCAACAGGAGAGUCAUACAAAAACUACUUCCUCUAUUUACCAAUAACAUGUGGAAUACUGAAUGUUGUCAAAAAAGGUGGCAUUUUCUUUAGAAAUGCGAGAUGAAAUUUUCCUCAAUGUACUGACACUAAGUGGUAAUACACAUGUCGCAUACAAUGCUAUUCUGUAUUAAAAAGUGAAAACAACAUUUUCAGAAUUUUCAGAAUCAAUAAAGUAUUUAUGAGCAGUACAUGUGGUCAAAAUUUAACUGUGUAAAAUAAUGUCGACUUCUGUGUUGCAGUAUUUAUAUAAUAAAUAUAUAUGUUUAAAAACUU